CGUAAAUAGUAGAUUCAUUGGAUUCUUACUCGAAGAAAGAACAUAAUUACAUGUAACUGAAUCAACGCUUUCGAGGUCAAAAACUUUUGACUCGCACAUAAAGCUCAAGUUAAUUCCAUCAUCGUGGGGCACCACGGCCAUCAUAUGUGGUAUUUCUAUUGUAAAAAAAUCAUCCAGAUUCCAAACCUUUGAUUUAGCUGUCUUUUUCGAAAGCUCCAAUAUCUUGUUUUUGUUAUAUAUUGAUACCUUCCCUUUAGAAAUAGCUGAAGCAAAUUCCAAAGCUUCGUCAAACUUUUCAAGUUUUUCAAGUAAGUCUACGUAAAAUUUGGACCAUUUUUCUUCCAAAGGAUCAUUUGACCAUGCAGUUUGAACGUCCACAUUUUUUAACGAAGCAUAAGCGUUUUCAUAGUCUUCUAGUAGGUAUUGUGCCAAUCCAGUAUCGCAAGCUGUAUUAACGAAAGAAUAGCGAUUCUUAUAAGCUUUAAAAAUACUUAAAGCCUCAGAAGAUAGCCUGUAAUACUCUGAUAGAAACGAACUGGUCGAAGAGAUAGUCUCCGAAAGCUUUUGAAAGCGAUUGUCUAAUAAGCUAUUGUCGUGAUGCUCAAUCAAUGGAAAACUAGGCUCACGCCAAAGGAGAGGCGAAGAAUCAUCAAUCAGGUUGUUCCAUCUUGCCAUCCUUGUUAACUGGCGACGAGCGUACAGUAAAAUUUUUGCACAACACAAUGGGAUUGGGGUAUCAUUGUUGUGGAUAGCUUCAGUAAUUUUCUUAAACAGAAGAGUAUAACAAUCAUAAUUAAAUGCAGCGAUUAUUUCCAAAUUAUUUUGGACGAAUUCAUUAAAGAAGGACGAGGUU